rnacentral:lncRNA from 1 species
CUUCCACUCCAUGGGCGACGGCACACGGCGCGCCGUGCACAGCCAGUGAACAAACCCCUCGCGCAGCCCCAUUGGCGUUUUUUGCGAGUGAGCGUGCGGGCGCCGACGGUAGGCCUCGAUGGCCGCACGCGCGUCGUCAGCGCCGGGCAACCACAUGAUGCACGGCCACCUGUCGGUGAACACCCUCACCGCCAUGGCGGCGCCCCACAGUGGGCUGGCAGGAUCGCAACACACGAGCACAUAGCGCGAGACGUCGGCCUCGUAAGGGCGCGUGCUGGUCUCUCGGGACACGCCGACGGGCAGCCACGCACGCAGGUUGCCCAUGAGUAGGACGGGCACAUGGUAUAUCCGCACGAGCGCCGCCGGUGCUGGGUUCUCGGGGCUGUACCGCUGGGGCCAGCCCUCGUCACCGAACAGACCGUAGCUGCUCAUGCACUUGAAAGGGUCCUGGCGCGGUGCAUCAUCAGAUUCGUCGCCAAACACGAUGAGGUGGCCCGCGGCGUCGCUGCCGUCGUCAUGAUGGUCGGCCGAUCCGGCGUCCGCCAGAACGUCUGCCGCAGGCGGCGCACUGCCGCGUUCGACGUUUUUCUCGGCGACUCGGUCGCCAACGUCUCGAUUGCAGCCGCAGUCGUCGCUAGCAUCGUCGCGGCUGGCGUCGGAUGCGGUCUCAUCGUAGUCGUCGCCAUCUACACAGGUACUUUGGCGUUGGCUCGCUAUCCAUGCCACCACAUCAUCAUUGUCGGACUCGUCGUCGCUGUUUUCGGAAAAGCCAUCGCAGCCCUCGUAUACUCCGCCGUCGCCGCCACCAUCACCACCAUCGCCGUCCUCCUCCAUCCCAAGGCCAGCCCCAUCGGCGUCAUCAGUAUCGUCUACGACAUAGUGCGCGCCAUCAGCGUUAUCGCCACCGGCAAAGUCCGAGGCCGUGUCGAUUGUCGGCGAGCCGCCACCGUGACCGUCCGCUGGCCAGUAUUCUAUGUCGUAGAAUACACCAUCGACGCAGCCACUGUUGAUGCCGUCAUAUUGACGAGGGCCGCAGUGUUUGUCAAACAGAGAGCGCGCGCGGCGAAUGUCGUCGGCGAGGCACUGGGCAGCGUCGGGGUCGAUCCAUGCAUCCAGACCCGCAGGAACACGGCACGCCUGGACCGGUGGCGUGGGCACAUACACAUCUGGGCACAUAUCAUGCCAUACGGCGGCCCAUACAUGGGGCUCGCUCAUGCGCACUCGCUCCAUGGGCAACUUGACGUGAUGGGGGUCAUCGAAUGCGCUCGCAAGAGCGCGCGCACACGCGUCACACACAAAGCGGUUGCACUCGUGCGAUUUGACAUGGAGCGACCAGUCGGGGGCGCCGGUGCACUUGUCCAACGACAAACGCUUGCCAUCAAAGAGGCGGUAGGAACAGCAGAAUCGCAGCCGCGGAUCUACACUCGCACCGGCGUCGCCCUCCGUGCCUUUGUCUUUUGUAUCCGACAGGGAGGCGUCGGCGUCGGGCGUUUGAUCGUCCUGUGCAGGUCCAUAGUGGUCGACGGUGCCAUCGUCGUGUGUAUCGUAUCCGUCCGGGCGGAAGAGGCGCUGGUUGCGAUACUGACUGGCCAUGUCGGCGUCGUCGUCGCAUUCGGUCGCAAACCGCUGCCACUCAUCGACGAACGCGUCCAUGGACUCGCGUGCUGCAGCCCGUAGCGCGCUUGUGCGGUGCUGGGCCACGCCGGCGCACACUUGCCAAAGGCCUGUGCACGUGGCGCCCAGCGACGCCACAUCCACCAGCGAGUCGAGCGCGUCUGCAAUGCGCCACGCGAUCUCGGGCGGCAAAUCGGGAAGCAGUGUGGGGUGCCCGGUCGGCGCGUGGGCAGCCAUGUUUCAGACUCUCUUGUGCGCCUCUUUCGGGCCGCGGCUUUUUUUUUGAGGUGUAGACGCGCUUUCUCGGGCGGUCGCGUGCGAUAUGUUCCUCCACUAUGCCAGAAAGAAAGAGACAGCCCGAGGAGGGCGGCUGGCGCGUCUGGUCGGGCGCCCGCUGCCGUGGUGCCGGGUGCCUUGCGUUUCCCUUCUUUCCCUAAAGAAGAAAAGGCGCAGGAAAAAAACACGAACCCGAAUGGGCGGCACCAGGGCGACCUGGCCGCCUGCAAAAAAACACACACAAAGGAGGCCCGCGCCCCGUUCUUUCGUGUGCGCUCUGACGCCGCCCCACACUGUUUGGGCGGGUGGGUCCUUCAGGCGAAAAAAAACCAAAUACCUAUAUUUCGGCGUGUUUUCUUUCAGUCCACACCCCAGCCCAACCACCCGCCGUUUUCAAUUCCUGGCAACUGCCCUUUUUGGGUGCGCUUACCGACCGAUUGGCUUGGACAGCGCAUGCAUACAUAGAAAGGAAAAAAAGGGAGACCAUUUGAUUGCAAGCCGAUGGCAUGGAACCUUGGGCGCAGACAAAUAGAAAAG